GGGUGUGGCACCGUAGACGUGCGACUCGUAGCCGUGCUUCAGCCCGAGCGCAUGACCGAGUUUGUGCAGGUGCGUGUGCCAUGGCGACCGGCUUGCGAUAGUCGUCUGCCGUGCCGGCAUAGGCUGUGGCGAACCAAAUGUCUCCUGCUG
rnacentral:sRNA from 1 species